rnacentral:lncRNA from 1 species
CGUAAAACCUCUUCAACUCAUACCUGACCUAAAACCUAAAUGCCUUAUUUUCUUCUACAAUGCCACUUGACCCCAAUACAAACUCGACAGUCAUUCCAAAUAGCCAGAAAAUGGCACUUUUGAUUUUUCCAUCCUACAAGAUCUAGAUAAUUCUUGUCGUAAAAUGGGCAAAUGGUCUGAGGUGCCUGGUGUCCAGGCAUUCUUUUACACAUUGUUCCCUCCCUAGUCUCUGUUCCCAAUGCGACUUAUCCCAAAUCUUCCUUCUUUCCCUCCUGCCUGUCCCCUCAAUCCCAACCCCAAGCGUCGCUGAGUCUUUCUAAUCUUCCUUUUCUACAGACCCAUCUGACCUCUCCCCUCCUCCCCAGGCUGCUCCUCGCCAGGCUGAGCCAGGUCCCAAUUCUUCCUUAGCCUCUGCUCCCCAACCCUAUAAUCCUUUUAUCACCUCCCCUCCUCACACCCGGUCUGGCUUACAGUUUCGUUCCGUGACUAGCCCUCCCCAACCUGCCCAGCAAUUUCCUCUUAAACAGGUGGCUGGAGCUAAAGGCAUAGUCAAGGUUAAUGCUCCUUUUUCUUUAUCUGACCCCUCCCAAAAUCAGUUAGCGUUUAGGCUCUUUUUCGUCGAAUAUAAAAACCCAGCCCAGUUUUUGGCUUGUUUGGCAGCAACCCUGAGACGCUUUACAGCCCUAGACCCUGAAAGGUCAGAAGGCCGUCUUAUUCUUAAUAUGCAUUUUAUUUUAUUACCUAAUCUGCUCCUGACAUUAAAUAAAACUCCAAAAAUUAAAUUCUGGCCCUCAAACCCCACAACAGGACUUAAUUAACCUCACCUUUAAGGUGUACAAUAAUAGAGUAGAGGCAGCCAAGUAGCAAUGUAUUUCUGAGUUGCAAUUCCUUCCCUCCACUGUGAGACAAACCCCAGCCACAUCUCCAGCACACAAGAACUUCCAAACGCCUAAACCGCAGCAGGCAGGCAUUCCUCCAGGCCCACCUCCUCCAGGAGCUUGCUACAAGUGCUGGAUAUCUGGCCACUGGGCCAAGGAAUGCCCGCAGCCCAGGAUUCCUCCUAAGCCAUGUCCCAUCUGUGCAGGACCCCACUGAAAAUCGGACUGUUCAACUCACCUGGCAGCCACUCCCAGAGCCCCUGGAACUCUGGCCCAAGGCUCUCUGACUGACUCCUUCCCAGAUCUUCUCAGCUUAGCGGCUGAAGACUGACGCUGCCUGAUUGCCUCAGAAGCCCCCUAGACCAUCAAGGAUGCCGAUCUUCAGGGUCUCACAUUGUCACCCAGGCUGGAGGGCAGUGGCUUGAUCAUGGCUCACUGCAGCCUUGACUUCCCGGGCUCAAGUAAUCCUCUCUUCUCAGCCUCUCAAGUAGCUGGGACUAUAGGCACAUGCCACCACACCCAGCUAUUUCAGAUGGGAAAGCUGACACCAUGGUCAACAAUGAAGAAGCAUUUAUUAAUCGACUUGGGGUGGUCUGGCUUUUACAUUGAAGCCCUCCUCCUCCACCUCCUCCUCCUCCCUUUCUCUAUGCCUCUCCCAACCUCCAUCAUUUUCAAGAGUCUGAGAGGAUCUAUGGAAUCAGCAGAGCUGGAUGUCACCAGGGAGAUGGCACAGGAAGGAAGAAAGGCAUCUUGGGAAGUAUAUAAAGAAGUCGUUUCACAGCUUACAGAGGCACAACCACAAUUCUCCCUCAGACCUCAGACUUAGAACUUUGUGCCUGUGAAGUAUAAUAACCAUAGGAAAUUGUCAAAGGUUGUUACACUUUGCUAAGAAACCCUAGGUAAAUGCAUAAAGUCAAAAACAUUUGUAACUUGUAUGUAGAUUAGCCUAUUGGGUCAUUAAACAUAAUUUGUUAAUAUCAAAUAUAUAUGGCUAUAUAUAAAAUAAUGCUAUAUGCUAUAUAGGGCAUAUAUUUCUCUUUUGUUACAUCAUAAUCUCAAUUAUAAUAUGACAGUCUAUUAAAAAACAAUUUCCAAAUAGUGAACUAUAUAAGAUACAGAUUUCAUUCCAUAAUGAGCUUUAUUAUUUUCAUUUAACCCUUUUCUCAUCCUCAUGAUAUUCUGGCAUUGGAAUACGUGGAUUACUGCUGCAUGGUGUGGACUGUACGUUACUGUCAAGGCCAUUUAUUAAGAGGAAUUGAGAUUUGUGUUUAACUUGUUCAUCACUUAAACUUCCAGGGCCUAGCACACUGACUGGCACAGUAAGCAUUUC